AUUGAACGCUGGCGGCAUGCCUUACACAUGCAAGUCGAACGGUAACAGGUCUUCGGAUGCUGACGAGUGGCGAACGGGUGAGUAAUGCAUCGGAACGUGCCCAGGUGUGGGGGAUACCUGCUCGAAAGAGCAGCUAAUACCGCAUACGACCUGAGGGUGAAAGCGGGGGAUCGCAAGACCUCGCGCAAUUGGAGCGGCCGAUGUCGGAUUAGGUAGUUGGUGGGGUAAAGGCCUACCAAGCCGACGAUCUGUAGUUGGUCUGAGAGGACGACCAGCCACACUGGGACUGAGACACGGCCCAGACUCCUACGGGAGGCAGCAGUGGGGAAUUUUGGACAAUGGGCGCAAGCCUGAUCCAGCAAUGCCGCGUGCAGGAAGAAGGCCUUCGGGUUGUAAACUGCUUUUGUCAGGGAAGAAAUCCUCUGGGUUAAUACCCCGGGGGGAUGACGGUACCUGAAGAAUAAGCACCGGCUAACUACGUGCCAGCCGCCGCCGUAAGAC
rnacentral:rRNA from 1 species